UACGUAGGGCGCAAGCGUUGUCCGGAAUUAUUGGGCGUAAAGGGCGCGUAGGCGGUUCCGCAAGUCCUGUGUGAAAUCUUCGGGCUCAACUCGAAGUCUGCACGGGAAACUGCGGGGCUUGAGUGUGGGAGAGGUGAGUGGAAUUCCCGGUGUAGCGGUGAAAUGCGUAGAUAUCAGGAGGAACACCGGUGGUGUAAACGGCUUUCUGGACCAUAACUGACGCUGAGGCACGAAAGCGUGGGUAGCAAACAGG
rnacentral:rRNA from 1 species